GUGCUCUCUUGGGAAGCACAUAUACUAAAAUCGGAUGGUACAGAGAAGAUUAACAUGGCCCCAGAGCAAGUAUAACAUGCAAACUCGUGAAGCAUUCCAUAUUUUU
ensembl:snRNA U6 U6 spliceosomal RNA